rnacentral:pre_miRNA from 1 species
ACGACAACAUUCGGACCGUCGGUCUACCGAGCAAUCACACUCGCUCGGUGGAAGAUCUUUCCCUUUGUCGUAUACC